rnacentral:misc_RNA from 1 species
ACAAAAAUUAAAAUUGAGCGAUGACUGUGAUACAUUCAUAUAUGUAAACGGAUAAAGAAUUAAAUUUAGUUAUAAAUAAAUUAUUUUUAUCAUGUUGAAAAAGCAAACAUAUAAUCAACUGAAAAUUUCAUUCACAUUUACAUUUAAUUUUAUUGGUAUGCCUAAAAUCACAUUUAAGCACCAAACUUCCAUCCAUUCUCUUCAAAACAAAACUCUCAACCAACACAAAACAAGAUAAUCUCCUCCAUUCACACUCGCUUUCACAUCUAAUUUCAACUCUUUUCUCUAUUCUCACAGUCCUCUCAGGCCCAUCAACCCAUCCUCCUGCCUCUAACACCCAUUUCAUUUUCUCUGCAAUUGCAAAACUUAAACCCACUCUAAGCCCUCUAUACCUCCCCCUAUCACUGUUCCCAACUGCUCUGUACCAAAUGAACGCUCCAUGCCCAACUCUCUCACCCUUUUCAGCUUCCAUGCCAAACACCAAGUCUACUUCUCUUUGCACAUUUGCAUUAACCAUAAUCAUAGCAUUAGUUUCAUUGUUAACAUUAUCACAUGAGUAAAUCUCCUCCCAGUGCUGCUCAAGGGUCAUCUUGUAUAGCAUUGAUCUCUUCAUUUGUUCUCUUAUUCUGGCUUCUUCCCUUAUGAACACAAAUGGGCAGUACCAUGUUCCAACAAUAACAGAGGAUGAACUCCUGCUGGAUAUUGGAAAAUUGAAGCUGGGAAGUUGUAUCCUGAGAGAGUCAUCAAGGCCUAAAGCAUCAUCAUCUCUUAGAUGAAAUUUGUACGCUGAUGACGAUGAGAUUUUAACUUCCCAUCCUUUAUUUCUCAGCAAUUUUGGAGGAUAACCAUAAGGAGCAAGAGACUUAGCGAAGAAACUCCUUCCAUGAUGACGAUGAAUCUUGAAUUGCUGGUAUAUGUUUCUGGGAUCCAAUGGCUUUGGUUUUACAUCUUUUAUAACUUCCUUGAAGCAACAUAAUAAGCCCAUGUCCACAUCCCUUGAACAUCUGCAUGCUUGCCUGCAAAUUCACAAAGAAAACUCUUAACAGAGCAUAUACACUUAGCUUUGAUGACAUUGUAGGCCAAAUUAGCAGAUCUGAUUAAGCUUGAACUAAAAUAUUAACAGAGCAAACUUACCCUUUGUAUCUGCCUUUAGCUUUGAUGACAUAGUAGCAGCUAGAAGAUAAAGGCUGGUCAAGAACUGGAAGAAACCAAAAUUUCUUAGCUAAUAAAGGCUCUUGAUACUCAGAUGAAUGAAUUACAUUUAAAAUCUUAUCCUGAGGAAAUGGGAUCCUUUUAACUCUCUUCUUUUUACAGGCACCAAAACAGUAUGUAUCCUGUGCUUCAGAUUCUUCAUCUGUAAUCACUAGAUAGCCUGUGUAUGGACCCUCUGGUGUGUCUGCAGAAAGGGCACUUGGGAAUUUCCUGUACAAGGACAGAGGCCUUGUCACAUACAUGUUUCUCUCCUGCGGGAAAUUAUUGAGUAGCUUGCAGAUUUAUCAGACAUUGUUUUCUUGUAUAUUAAGAUUUGUGCUUUUCAUUAUUA